AUUUCAGAUAAUUGUAAUGGAGAAUUAAAGGAUUGCAUAUAUACUUAGUGUGGUGGUUCCUCAGUGCAAUUCUAUCUUCAUGAAAGAUUAUGAGAAGAGCAUCUGAUGAAGUGAUAAGCUGCUGCCACUAUAUUCAUCAGUGUCUCUACUACUCUGGUCAAGAUCUCAGGGUCCAAAGUGCUCUGGUAUUAGACUCCUAGACACAUAUUGAAAAUAACCUUCGUCAAAGCCUCACUCUUCCUUGUACAAGUCACUGCUUUGUAAGUGAUCCUAUAAUUGCAGAUGCAGAAGUUCCAAUCAUGGUUACGACACAGACUAUCUCUCUGACUCUAAACAAAUUGCACAAUCUCUGAGUUUCCUCAUUUGUACAGUGCCUGUGCCAUGAGAGCAAAUGACAAUUCCACAAUGAACCUUCUAUGGUGUGCUAUGAAAAUUGUAUGAUAUCCCACU
rnacentral:lncRNA from 1 species